rnacentral:rRNA from 1 species
AGUGAACGCUGGCGGUAGGCCUAACACAUGCAAGUCGAACGGCAGCACAGUAAGAGCUUGCUCUUACGGGUGGCGAGUGGCGGACGGGUGAGGAAUACAUCGGAAUCUACUUUUUCGUGGGGGAUAACGUAGGGAAACUUACGCUAAUACCGCAUACGACCUACGGGUGAAAGCAGGGGAUCUUCGGACCUUGCGCGAUUGAAUGAGCCGAUGUCGGAUUAGCUAGUUGGCGGGGUAAAGGCACACCAAGGCGACGAUCCGUAGCUGGUCUGAGAGGAUGAUCAGCCACACUGGAACUGAGACACGGUCCAGACUCCUACGGGAGGCAGCAGUGGGGAAUAUUGGACAAUGGGCGCAAGCCUGAUCCAGCCAUACCGCGUGGGUGAAGAAGGCCUUCGGGUUGUAAAGCCCUUUUGUUGGGAAAGAAAAGCAGCAUGUUAAUACCCCGCUGUUCUGACGGUACCCAAAGAAUAAGCACCGGCUAACUUCGUG